UACGUAGGGGGCGAGCGUUACUCGGAAUGACUGGGCGUAAAGGGUGCGCAGGCGGUUCGGCAAGUCAGGCGUGAAAUCCCCGGGCUUAACCUGGGAAUGGCGCUUGAAACUACGGGACUGGAGUAUGGCAGAGGGAGGUGGAAUUCCACGUGUAGCGGUGAAAUGCGUAGAGAUGUGGAGGAACACCGAUGGCGAAGGCAGCCUCCUGGGCCAAUACUGACGCUCAUGCACGAAAGCGUGGGGAGCAAACAGG
rnacentral:rRNA from 1 species